rnacentral:pre_miRNA from 1 species
AUACUACUCCCUCCGUCCGAAAAUACUUGUCAUCAAAAUGGACAAAAAGGGAUGUAUCUAAAACUAAAAUACAUCUAGAUACAUCUCAUUUUAUUCAUUUUGAUGACAAGUAUUUUCAGACGGAGGGAAUACCAU